GGCGGACGGGUGAGUAAUGUCUGGGAAACUGCCUGAUGGAGGGGGAUAACUACUGGAAACGGUAGCUAAUACCGCAUAACGUCGCAAGACCAAAGAGGGGGACCUUCGGGCCUCUUGCCAUCGGAUGUGCCCAGAUGGGAUUAGCUAGUAGGUGGGGUAACGGCUCACCUAGGCGACGAUCCCUAGCUGGUCUGAGAGGAUGACCAGCCACACUGGAACUGAGACACGGUCCAGACUCCUACGGGAGGCAGCAGUGGGGAAUAUUGCACAAUGGGCGCAAGCCUGAUGCAGCCAUGCCGCGUGUAUGAAGAAGGCCUUCGGGUUGUAAAGUACUUUCAGCGGGGAGGAAGGCGACAGGGUUAAUAACCCUGUCGAUUGACGUUACCCGCAGAAGAAGCACCGGCUAACUCCGUGCCAGCAGCCGCGGUAAUACGGAGGGUGCAAGCGUUAAUCGGAAUUACUGGGCGUAAAGCGCACGCAGGCGGUCUGUCAAGUCGGAUGUGAAAUCCCCGGGCUCAACCUGGGAACUGCAUUCGAAACUGGCAGGCUAGAGUCUUGUAGAGGGGGGUAGAAUUCCAGGUGUAGCGGUGAAAUGCGUAGAGAUCUGGAGGAAUACCGGUGGCGAAGGCGGCCCCCUGGACAAAGACUGACGCUCAGGUGCGAAAGCGUGGGGAGCAAACAGGAU
rnacentral:rRNA from 1 species